rnacentral:rRNA from 1 species
CCCUUAGAUGUUCUGGGCCGCACGCGCGCUACACUGAUGCAUUCAACGAGUCUAAAACCUGCUCUGAUAGGGGUGGGUAAUCUUUUGAAUGUGCAUCGUGAUUGGGAUAGAUGAUUGCAAUUUUUCGUCUUCAACGAGGAAUGCCUAGUAAACGCAAGUCAUCAGCUUGCAUUGAUUACGUCCCUGCCCUUUGUACACACCGCCCGUCGCUCCUACCGAUUGAAUGAUCCGAUGAAUAUCAUGGAUUGAGGAUGCAAGCAGGUUCGCCUGUCUUCAUCUUCGAGAAGUGAAGUAAAUCUUAUCAUUUAGAGGAAGGAGAAGUCGUAACA